rnacentral:rRNA from 1 species
UAGUCCACGCCGUAAACGAUGAUCACUCGUUGUUGGCGACACAUUGUCAGUGACCAAGCGAAAGCGAUAAGUGAUCCACCUGGGGAGUACGUUCGCAAGAAUGAAACUCAAAGGAAUUGACGGGGGCCCGCACAAGCGGUGGAGCAUGUGGUUUAAUUCGAUGAUACGCGAGGAACCUUACCUGGGCUCAAAUGCUUAAUGACAGACCCUGAAAGGGGUUUUUCUUCGGACAUUUUGCAAGGUGCUGCAUGGUUGUCGUCAGCUUCGUGCCGUGACGGUGUCGGGUUAAGUCCCAUAACGAGCGCAACCCCUAUCAUUAGUUGCCAUCAUUAAGUUGGGCCACUUUAAAGAGACUGCCGGUGACAAACCGGAGGAAGGUAAGGGAUGACGUCAAGUCAGCAUGCCCCUUAUGCUCUGGGCUACACACGUGCUACAAUGGCCGUGACAAAGAGUUGCUACUUUGUGAAAACAAGCUAAUCUCAUAAACGCGGCCUCAGUUCGGAUUG